CGGCGGACGGGUGAGUAACGCGUGGGUAACCGUACCUCAUACAGGGGAGUAACAGUUGGAAACGGCUGCUAAUACCGCAUAAGCGCACAGUACCGCAUGGUACCGUGUGAAAAACUCCGGUGGUAUGAGAUGGACCCGCGUCUGAUUAGCUAGUUGGUGGGGUAACGGCCUACCAAGGCGACGAUCAGUAGCCGACCUGAGAGGGUGACCGGCCACAUUGGGACUGAGACACGGCCCAA
rnacentral:rRNA from 1 species